AUAUAUAUAUAGUAUGUAAUGUGUGUGUGUAAUAUAUAUAUUGUGAGGAAGUAGGUGGAGUGAGACAGCAGGGAGGGGGUUAAUCCUCCCUGCAUAAAAGAAACAUGGGAGAAUGCACAUUUGUUUGAUUGUUUAAUUGUUUUAUUAGUAAUGAUUAUCCGCACCUGAGCGUUAUUGGGCAGUAUAAAGCAGUUAGUCUGCUCGGGGCUGCUGAGGAGAGGGAGGCAGAGAAGGUGCUCUGCUUCCAAGCAGUCGGAUGAGAAGGAAUGGGAAUUUCCUGAACUGCUCCAGGAGAUCUGCGAUGCGCUGAUGAAUCGAGAGCCAGCGCUGUGGAAGAAGGUGAAGCCGAAAGCGCUGCUCGAUAACUGCUGCAAGACCAUGAAGCUGCUGUUUGAGUGUGACUGGAAUGGAAGAAGACACACGUCUGCCCUCUGAAGAUGGAAUGCUUUUACUGUCCUGUAUUUGUGUGUCUCUGUCAGAAACCAAGCAGCUAAGAAACACCAACUGCUAUGCUUUACUUUUGGGUAACUUUUGUUUUUUAGAUGAAUUAACCCUGCUUUGUAUUAUUAGAUUGUAAUAUGAUUAGUAGUGUUUGUGUAUCAUAUUGUAUGUUUGUGGCAAAAUGAGUUGCACCCAGAAUGUUUUUUGUUUGUUUUAAAAACGUGAACAGGUGCAUAUGUAAAUAGUGUAUGUUUUAUACACCUCUACACUUAUGAUGCUGCAUUGUACAGCAUUUCAUGAUUGUGUAAAUACCAAAAUACAAAUAUAUUCCACAUUGAAAUGCAAUUGAAUUGCGGAGGACGAGAACUAAAGACUGACGCAUUGUAAUGUGUUUGUUUUUACGGGGUUAGACUCUUGAGAUAUGAUGCAAUCAUUGCAUUUUGUUUUGUUUUGGUAAAUAAUGAAUACCUGUACAAACAACAGGAGCCAGUGUGGUCGAGUGGUUAAAGUCCAGGGCUUGUAAGCAGAAGUUCUCUGGUUCAAAUCCCACCUCUCCCACUGACCGACUCACUAUGUGAUACUGAGCAAGUCACUUGAAUCUCCUUCUGCUCCAUCCUACAGCCUACCCCUGUAAAGUGCUUUGUGAUGGUGGUCCAACAUGAA